rnacentral:rRNA from 1 species
GAUGAACGCUAGCGGCAGGCUUAACACAUGCAAGUCGAGGGGCAUCGGGAGGGAAGCUUGCUUUCCUUGCCGGCGACCGGCGCACGGGUGAGUAACACGUAUGCAACCUGCCCUCUUCAGGGGGACAACCUUCCGAAAGGGAGGCUAAUCCCGCGUAUAUCGGUUUCGGGCAUCCGAGAUCGAGGAAAGAUUCAUCGGAAGAGGAUGGGCAUGCGGCGCAUUAGCUUGACGGCGGGGUAACGGCCCACCGUGGCGACGAUGCGUAGGGGUUCUGAGAGGAAGGUCCCCCACACUGGUACUGAGACACGGACCAGACUCCUACGGGAGGCAGCAGUGAGGAAUAUUGGUCAAUGGGAGAGAUCCUGAACCAGCCAAGCCGCGUGAGGGAAGACGGCCCUAUGGGUUGUAAACCUCUUUUGUCGGAGAACAAAACCCGGGACGUGUCCCGGACUGCGUGUAUCCGAAGAAAAAGCAUCGGCUAACUCCGUGCCAGCAGCCGCGGUAAUACGGAGGAUGCGAGCGUUAUCCGGAUUUAUUGGGUUUAAAGGGUGCGUAGGCGGUCCGUUAAGUCAGCGGUAAAAUUGCGGGGCUCAACCCCGUCGAGCCGUUGAAACUGGCAGACUUGAGUUGGCGAGAAGUACGCGGAAUGCGCGGUGUAGCGGUGAAAUGCAUAGAUAUCGCGCAGAACUCCGAUUGCGAAGGCAGCGUACCGGCGCCAGACUGACGCUGAGGCACGAAAGCGUGGGGAUCGAACAGGAUUAGAUACCCUGGUAGUCCACGCAGUAAACGAUGAAUGCUGGUUGUCCGGGUCGAAUGAGAUCUGGGCGGCGAAGCGAAAGCGAUAAGCAUUCCACCUGGGGAGUACGCCGGCAACGGUGAAACUCAAAGGAAUUGACGGGGGCCCGCACAAGCGGAGGAACAUGUGGUUUAAUUCGAUGAUACGCGAGGAACCUUACCCGGGCUCAAACGGGAGUGGAAUGGACCAGAGACGGUUCAGCCUACGGGCCGCUUCCGAGGUGCUGCAUGGUUGUCGUCAGCUCGUGCCGUGAGGUGUCGGCUUAAGUGCCAUAACGAGCGCAACCCCCGCCGGCAGUUGCUAACGGGCAAUGCCGAGGACUCUGCCGGGACUGCCGCCGCAAGGCGAGAGGAAGGCGGGGAUGACGUCAAAUCAGCACGGCCCUUACGUCCGGGGCGACACACGUGUUACAAUGGGCGGUACAGCGGGAAGCCAGGCGGCGACGCCGAGCGGAGCCCGAAAGCCGUUCUCAGUUCGGAUCGGAGUCUGCAACCCGACUCCGUGAAGCUGGAUUCGCUAGUAAUCGCGCAUCAGCCAUGGCGCGGUGAAUACGUUCCCGGGCCU